UAGAGCGGAAUGCUGGGAAACUCGCAUGAUCCGUUCUUAGGGGGCCGCGCCGCAGCAGUGCGGCGCGGCUACCCGAC
rfam:Burkholderia sp. STM 7183 genome assembly, contig: CYGY01000011